CAGAAAUCACCUGUCUUCUGCUUCGCUCACGCUGGGAGCUGUAGACCGGAGCUGUUCCUGUUCGGCCAUCUUGGCUCCUCCCUGCCAGAUAGCUCUUAUUUUGAGCUCUGAAGGCUGAGAACUUCAAGAUCAAGGCACCAGUAGACUCAGUGUCUUAUGAGUGCUACUAUUUGCUUCAAAGACGAUGCCUUCUUGCUAAAUCCUCUGCAGACAGAAGCUGAAGAUCCACCGUGCAAGGAAGACAUCAAGGAGAUCCCUGCUGUACAUAGGAAUUUGAAUGAGAAUUUCCCUUCAAUUCUGAGACACUAUAAAUCUGACAUCAUAUAGUAAUAUGAAAGGUGAUAUUUCACACAUAACCAAGGCACAACUUCUCUUUUCAGUAAAUAUUGCUAAACUCAAAAAAACCUACACAUAUGACUUAAAUGAUAGAUAUAAAUAAAGGUGGUUUCAACAC
rnacentral:lncRNA from 1 species